GUGCCUGUAGUGCAAUGGAUUGCACGUUGGACAUCUAAUCCAAAGGUCGUGGCUUCGAAUCCCACCUGGGAUA